GACCUGCGCUCGGAUGCGCUCUUCCUUAACUGCCAGAACCUGGGGAAGGGGACUCUGAUUAAAAUACCCCUAAGAAUUGACAAGGGUGAAAAAUUCCCUUUGCUGGCAUGCAUUCAUUUAACCAAUGUAUUUCUUGAGCGCUCGCUGUGUGCCGACAGCGACAGGACACAAAUGAAAGGACGUGAUUCUCUUCGAGACGGUCAUGUGAGCCUGAACGUUUUACUUCCACAUUCUACCCACCCAUCCUGAAACGAACGUUUCCACUGCAAUUACCCAGAAACACACAGGGAAAGGAAAUGCAGCAUGAACCCCGGAAGGCAGGACGGGGUGGGAUCCUUUUCUCCAGGAGAAAGGGCAGAUGCGGCUGGACUGGAGGAGGGAGGACUCCCCUGGGAUUUCCCAUAUGCGAAGAAAUCCCAAAAGAACACAUUACCAAGACUGAGGAAAACAAGAGCAAUUUCUCAUGACUCCAAGACAGACACCUGAGUGCUCUUCCUGCCGGACCUAGGUUGCUGAUUUUUGAACCCCAUUGCUGAGGGAACAGGAAAGGGUAAAAUGGAGCUUAAAUCUCAGGGUUUAUUUCACUUUGCACAGAGUGUGAAUUUCAGAGGAACUUACAGUUUGGCUAGAGGUUUGGGGGUUUUCCCGUUUUUUUCUCUCUUGAAGCCAAGGUGAAAUCAAGCCUUCCAUUUUUGUUCUAUAAAAAUCUCCCCCACAAACAUGCAGGAGGGGAAUGUUAAGGGCAGGUAUUAGUGUCGAUCAUGCCAGGAAUGGAAACCCAAACACAAAAGCACCUUUGUUUCCCAAAUUGGCAUGUCUUUUAAGCUCGACUGCAAUUUAUGCACUGCAGGAAGGGGAAGUUAAAACGAUGCUUUUUCAACAAGUUUUAUGUGGAGUGUGUAAUAGUAAAUGAAUACAGAAGGCACACUAUCACAGCGGGAGGUUAAUCUCAUAGAGAAUAAAUAAAACCAUUGAACUGUCAAGUACAACAAAUAAUGUGUUUGGGAGGCUUCAGGAUUAUUAAAGCUGAUUUUAUACCAAC
rnacentral:lncRNA from 1 species